CUGGGGAUAAUACCCUAUAGGUUACAGAUGCUGGAAUGCCCUGUAACCAAAAGCUCCGGCGCCCUAGGAUGGAUCUGCGGCCGAUUAGGUUGUUGUUGUUGGGGUAACGGCCCAACAAGCCCGUAAUCGGNACGGGUUGUGGNANCAANANCCCGGANUUGGAUUCUGANACNCGAAUCCAGGCCCUACGGGGCGCANCAGGCGCGAAACCUUUACAAUGNGGNCAACCGUGAUAAGGGAACCUCGAGUGCCUGUAA
rnacentral:rRNA from 1 species